GACGAACGCUGGCGGUGUGCUUAACACAUGCAAGUCGAACGGUAAGGCCCUUUCUGGGGUACACGAGUGGCGAACGGGUGCGUAACACGUGCGUAACCUUCCCUCAUCUCUGGGAUAACAGUCGGAACCGGUUGCUAAUACUGGUUAUGAGCUUUCACUGCAUCUUGUGGGUUGGAAAGAUUUUUUUUGGUUGGGGAUGGACUCGCGGCCUAUCAGCUUGUUGGUGAGGUAGUGGCUCACCAAGGCUUCGACGGGUAGCCGGCCUGAGAGGGCGACCGGCCACAUUGGGACUGAGAUACGGACCAAACUCCGACGGGAGGCAGCAGUGGGGAAUAUUGCACAAUGGACGGAAGUCUGAUGCAGCAACGCCGCGUGCGGGAUGACGGCCUUCGGGUUGUAAACAGCUUUCAAUUGUGACGAAGCUUUUUUGUGACGGUAGCAGUAGAAGAAGCACCGGCUAACUACGUG
rnacentral:rRNA from 1 species